UAUUAUUAUUGAAUAUAGAAGUUAAGUUUUGAAUUUUGAAUUUUAUUAAAUUUACCUAAAGAUACAUAGAUCCAAAAAAGUACGUAAACUUGACAAAAGUACGUAAAAAACUUGUCAAGCCCUCUUAAAAAAUUAAAAAAAAAAAACUUAUCGUGCUUUUAAGUUUUGAAUUUUUUAUAUUAAAAUUAACGAUUAUUUAUUUUUUAAAUCAUAAUAUUUACAAUGACAAAACUAUUACAACUCACGAUCAUUUAUGUCCUGGUGCAGCCAAUAAUCCCAUUCCAUCAUGGAAAUUUCUGCACCUGUUAUGUGUUUUUAAUGGGGGACCAUAGUAGUUGAUAUACUGCUACCCUUAUCUUGUUAUUGAAAAGGAAAGAAGACUAAAAGGGGACUCAAACCAUCCCCUUUAUCGAUCAUGGAGGGAAGUGACUCCUGCCACUUACCCAAAUGGGAGGGUGCAUGUGGGACCUAGUACCUCGGAUCCAUGCAAUUAUAGUUUGAAAAUAUCAUUGAUUAGGUCCAACCAAAUACGUUUUCUUAUCUGAUACUUUUACAAAAAAAAAAAAAAAAGAAGAAACGAUAAGUGAAAAAAAUAGCAAACACACCUUGAAAUUUUUAAAAAUUUCACAAAUCUAUCACCCACUAAUAUACUAAAUAAAAUAUUCAAUUUAUUUCCACGCAUAUUUUCUUUUGUGGCGUCUUAUUUAUUUAUAAGAUCUUUCGAUCUUAUGGAUUUUGCUUUAUUUCUUCCUUUGCCUCUUAAAUUUGGGCAAAAUUACGUUGCAACAUGGGUUUAAUACCAAUUUCUUUUGUCUUUUUCAAGGUCAAUUACAAUGAAAUUCUGUUAUUGGUUAUAAAAAUAAAAAAACUAA
rnacentral:lncRNA from 1 species